GGCUACACACGUGCUACAAUGGGUAGAACAGAGAGUCGCAAAGCCGCGAGGUGGAGCUAAUCUCAGAAAACUAUUCUUAGUUCGGAUUGUACUCUGCAACUCGAGUACAUGAAGUUGGAAUCGCUAGUAAUCGCGAAUCAGCAAUGUCGCGGUGAAUACGUUCUCGGGUCUUGUACACACCGCCCGUCACACCACGAGAGUUGGUUGCACCUGAAGUAGCAGGCCUAACCGUAAGGAGGGAUGCUCCGAGGGUGUGAUUAGCGAUUGGGGUGAAGUCGUAACAAGGUAUCCGUACGGGAACGU
rnacentral:rRNA from 1 species